GCUCCGGUAGCUCAGUUGGAUUAGAGCGGUCGGCUUCUACCCGACAGGUCAUAGGUUCGAGUCCUAUCCGGAGUACCA
rnacentral:tRNA from 1 species